ACAGUACAUACGCCGAAUCCUGUAUAGGUACGGAGGACCCAAGUUUUUGGGGUGAAGCGUUUUUUCGCAGGGUUGCAUUGCCUGACCCUAACCCGACAGCUAACUCCGGAGGCGAAGAAAGGCGGAACA
rnacentral:sRNA from 2 species